rnacentral:rRNA from 1 species
AACGCGAAGAACCUUACCUGGUCUUGACAUCCACAGAACUUUCCAGAGAUGGAUAGGUGCCUUCGGGAACUGUGAGACAGGUGCUGCAUGGCUGUCGUCAGCUCGUGUUGUGAAAUGUUGGGUUAAGUCCCGCAACGAGCGCAACCCUUAUCCUUUGUUGCCAGCGGUCCGGCCGGGAACUCAAAGGAGACUGCCAGUGAUAAACUGGAGGAAGGUGGGGAUGACGUCAAGUCAUCAUGGCCCUUACGACCAGGGCUACACACGUGCUACAAUGGCGCAUACAAAGAGAAGCGACCUCGCGAGAGCAAGCGGACCUCAUAAAGUGCGUCGUAGUCCGGAUUGGAGUCUGCAACUCGACUCCAUGAAGUCGGAAUCGCUAGUAAUCGUGAAUCAGAAUGUCACGGUGAAUACGUUCCCGGGCCUUGUACACACCGCCCGU